UACGGGGGGGGCAAGCGUUGUUCGGAUUUACUGGGCGUAAAGGGCGCGUAGGCGGCAAUUCAAGUCAGCUGUGAAAUCUCCGGGCUUAACUCGGAACGGUCAGCUGAUACUGCUUUGCUAGAGUGCAGAAGGGGCAAUCAGAAUUCUUGGUGUAGCGGUGAAAUGCGUAGAUAUCAAGAGGAACACCUGAGGUGAAGACGGGUUGCUGGGCUGACACAUGACGCUGGAGGCGACGGAAAGCUACGGGUAGCAAACGGG
rnacentral:rRNA from 1 species